GGAUGCCAAACUGCUUGUGCAUGGCGGGAUAUGGACUUGAGCCUGCACACCCUCAGGCAUGACCCACAGACUGGCUGUCCCUAGGAGAUGACAUGUUGUAGCUUCACCUUGAUGGCAUUGCUGACAGCAUUUCCAGCCUCCAGCCUGGAAGAGCCUACCAACAUUCUCUGGUGAAGCAGCGGUGGCCACAGGAGGCCCCAAUGACGUCUGGAAUCCAUCUGCCAGCUGGUCCCUGUGGGGCCUGAGCCACACCUGUGCGCUCUGUUUGCCCCUGGAAACCAGGCCGGGAGAAAAAGCGCUUCCCCUGGAGGAGGCCCCACGUACACAGGGGCCCAUGAAGGAGCCGAUUGUGAUCUGUUGUCUGAGGCCUGGCAGCCCCGCCGCUCUUCCGUGAGUCACACUCAAGUCUGAGCUCAUCUGAGGCACUGGUUUGUGGCGGGGCUGCUCGAGGAAAGACAGGGAAAUGAAGUCACACCAAAGGUGUGAGCUGGGAGGGAGCUGAGAAAUCGCUGCACCAACCUUCUGUCACGGGAGCCUCUGGAAACAUCUAUCACUCAGCUCAGUGUCCAGCCCAGGCCUAGGACUAACUCAGCUGGAAGAUGGACUCUAGAUCAGAGAAGUAGUAACCUCUGACCACCAGAUACUGGACAAAGCGUCUAGGAACCGGAAAGUAAACUCUUGAGAGCUUACCAAAUCUGCCAGCACCUUCAUCUGUCUUGGAAUUCCCAGUCUCCAGAACUACACUGAAACCCCUGCCAGGUGGAGAAGUUGACCAAGUGAUGACCAGUCUAUAGCCAUGACAGAAGCUGCCACAGUUCCCAAAAACUGGUCUCAAGGAAAAGGGAACACUCUAACCCUGGAAAUGAAGAUGAGCUGUACCUAAAAUAAUCAAGAUGACAGACCAUCGCAGGACCAGUGAGAAGACGGCUGUCAGGUUACUGCUGUUUCUGCAUGUAGGCCCCUCCAUCCGCCUGUACACCCCUGAAACUCCCCUUUAAAAGCUUUUACCCCCCUUAUCAGCAGGGGGACAAUUGGCCUUUGGACAUGAGUCCCCUUCUCCUUCAGUGGCCAGCCUCCAAAAUAAAGCAGACUUUCCUUUCCACCAGAGGGGAAAACUAGGCUCAUUUUGCUCUGAGGGUGUAUGUUUCCCCUGGGCACGGCUAUUGAAAGGGUAUGGAUGGCCCCAGGAAAAAAGCCAUCCAGCCUGGCAGCAGGAUCCCCACCCUACAGAUCAGAAACCCUGAGUCCAUCUGCCUCCUAGCAGCUGCUUUCUCUACUACAAGUCACUUACAGGUCUGCCCUUCAGUGUCAUCACCUGUAAAUUCAAAUUAUACUGCCUUCCUC
ensembl:lncRNA